rnacentral:tRNA from 1 species
UGGCCUGUAGCACAGCGGUAGUGCAAACGACUGUUAAUCGUUGGGUCGCAGGUUCGAAUCCUGCCGGGCCAG